UACGUAGGGGGCAAGCGUUGUCCGGAAUCAUUGGGCGUAAAUAGCGUGUAGGCGGCUCGGUAAGUCCGCUGUGAAAGUCCAGGGCUCAACCCUGGAAUGCCGGUGGAAACUGUCGAGCUAGAGUCCGGAAGAGGCGAGUGGAAUUCCUGGUGUAGCGGUGAAAUGCGCAGAUAUCAGGAGGAACACCAAUGGCGAAGGCAGCUCGCUGGGACGGUACUGACGCUGAGACGCGAAAGCGUGGGGAGCAAACAGG
rnacentral:rRNA from 1 species